AUUGAACGCUGGCGGCAUGCCUUACACAUGCAAGUCGAACGGCAGCGCGGGAGCAAUCCUGGCGGCGAGUGGCGAACGGGUGAGUAAUAUAUCGGAACGUGCCCAGUAGUGGGGGAUAGCCCGGCGAAAGCCGGAUUAAUACCGCAUACGACCUACGGGUGAAAGGGGGGGAUCGCAAGACCUCUCGCUAUUGGAGCGGCCGAUGUCAGAUUAGGUAGUUGGUGGGGUAAAGGCCUACCAAGCCUGCGAUCUGUAGUUGGUCUGAGAGGACGAACGCGCACACUGGUACUGAGACACGGCCCAGACUCCUACGGGAGGCAGCAGUGGGGAAUUUUGGACAAUGGGCGCAAGCCUGAUCCAGAAAUGCCGCGUGCAGGAAGAAGGCCUUCGGGUUGUAAACUGCUUUUGUCAGGGAAGAAAUCCUCUGGGUUAAUACCUCGGGGGGAUGACGGUACCUGAAGAAUAAGCACCGGCUAACUACGUGCCAGCCGCCGCUGUAACAC
rnacentral:rRNA from 1 species